UACGUAGGGGGCGAGCGUUGUCCGGAUUUAUUGGGCGUAAAGAGCUCGUAGGCGGUUACGCAAGUCGGGUGGGAAAUCUCCAGGCUCAACCUGGAGCCUUCGCCCGAUACUGCGUUGACUCGAGUCCGGUAGGGGAGUGUGGAAUUCCCGGUGUAGCGGUGAAAUGCGCAGAUAUCGGGAGGAACACCAAUAGCGAAGGCAGCUCGCUGGACGUUACUGACACUGAGGCGCGAAAGCGUGGGGAGCGAACAGG
rnacentral:rRNA from 1 species